UACAGAGGUCCCGAGCGUGUUCGGAUUUAUUGGGCGUAAAGGGUGCGUAGGCGGCGGAGUAAGUUGGGUGUGAAAUCCCGGGGCUUAACCUCGGAAUGGCAUUCAAUACUGCUUCGCUCGAGUACUGGAGAGGAGGCUGGAAUUUACGGUGUAGCAGUGAAAUGCGUAGAUAUCGUAAGGAAGGCCGGUGGCGAAAGCGAGCCUCUGGACAGUUACUGACGCUGAUGCACGAAGGCCAGGGGGAGCAAACGGG
rnacentral:rRNA from 1 species